rnacentral:rRNA from 1 species
CCUACGGGAGGCUGCAGUGGGGGAUAUUGCACAAUGGUGGAAACCCUGAUGCAGCGACGCCGCGUGUGGGAAGACGGUCCUCUGGAUUGUAAACCACUGUCCCCAGGGACGAAGAUGACGGUACCUGGCGAGGAAGCUCCGACUAACUACGUGCCAGCAGCCGCGGUAAUACGUAGGGAGCGAGCGUUGUCCGGAAUUACUGGGUGUAGAGGGAGCGUAGGCGGGACUGCAAGUUGGGUGUCAAAUCUAACGGCUCAACCGGUAGCCGCACUCAAAACUGCAGUUCUUGAGUGAAGUAGAGGUAGGCGGAAUUCCUGGUGUAGCGGUGAAAUGCGUAGAUAUUAGGAGGAACUCCAGUGGCGAAGGCGGCCUGCUGGGCUUUUACUGACGCUGAGGCUCGAAAGUGUGGGGAGCAAACAGGAUUAGAUACCCCAGUAGUC